rnacentral:lncRNA from 13 species
GAGUGGUAGCAGAGUGACACUGGAAUGGACAACGUGUGCAUAUAAUGGGAAAUGGGAGGGAAAAGAACAAACCAGAGACAUCUGUGGAAGUGGAGAAUGGAGGAACAAGGACAGCUUCCACUUGAGGUCAGAAGUGAAGAAGAGAUCUGUUCAGUCUAUGUUGAGGUGGACUACCUGAAGAGGUUGUUUGAGAAAAGACUGUAGCGUUCAAGAGGAGCAGCUGUAAGGAGCUGCUGCCCAUCACUGAACUCAGUGGAGCCUCCUUCCCCUGCUGCCACUUGGCAACCAAUAGAGACAGUAUGGCAACACUAACUAAACAUUUGAUACUGACACAUUUGAUACUGCCAAUUCCUCUCUCCCUCUUCAUGUGACGCUUACUCUUUCUGAUGAUGGUAGCAUGACUUAUUUUCUCUCCCUCUCUCUCUCUCUGUCUACACUGCUCUUCCUCUCUCUCUCUCUCUCCCUCCAGGUGAACCUGACUCUGACCACUACGGUCGUAUGGUUGAAUUGUGCUUCAUCUUCAGUGUAAUCUGGUCCAUCUGUGCCUCAGUCAAUGAGGAUGGUCAUAAGAAG